rnacentral:rRNA from 1 species
GAUCCUGGCUCAGGAUGAACGCUAGCUACAGGCUUAAUACAUGCAAGUCGAGGGGCAGCAUGGUCUUAGCUUGCUAAGGCCGAUGGCGACCGGCGCACGGGUGAGUAACGCGUAUCCAACCUGCCCUUACACUCGUUGGACAGCCUUCUGAAAGGGAGAUUAAUACAAGAUGUUAUCAUGAGUAAGCAUUUUCGCAUGAUUAAAGGUUUACCGGUGUAAGAUGGGGAUGCGUUCCA